rnacentral:rRNA from 1 species
GGUGAGUAAUGUCUGGGAAACUGCCUGAUGGAGGGGGAUAACUACUGGAAACGGUAGCUAAUACCGCAUAACGUCGCAAGACCAAAGAGGGGGACCUUCGGGCCUCUUGCCAUCGGAUGUGCCCAGAUGGGAUUAGCUAGUAGGUGGGGUAACGGCUCACCUAGGCGACGAUCCCUAGCUGGUCUGAGAGGAUGACCAGCCACACUGGAACUGAGACACGGUCCAGACUCCUACGGGAGGCAGCAGUGGGGAAUAUUGCACAAUGGGCGCAAGCCUGAUGCAGCCAUGCCGCGUGUAUGAAGAAGGCCUUCGGGUUGUAAAGUACUUUCAGCGGGGAGGAAGGGAGUAAAGUUAAUACCUUUGCUCAUUGACGUUACCCGCAGAAGAAGCACCGGCUAACUCCGUGCCAGCAGCCGCGGUAAUACGGAGGGUGCAAGCGUUAAUCGGAAUUACUGGGCGUAAAGCGCACGCAGGCGGUUUGUUAAGUCAGAUGUGAAAUCCCCGGGCUCAACCUGGGAACUGCAUCUGAUACUGGCAAGCUUGAGUCUCGUAGAGGGGG